rnacentral:tRNA from 1 species
GGGCUGGGGCUCAGCGGUAGAGUGCUCGCCUGGCACGUGCGAGGCCCUGGGGUCAAUGCCCUGCACCAUGUCA